UACGGGGGGGGCAAGCGUUGUUCGGAAUUACUGGGCGUAAAGGGCUCGUAGGCGGCCAACUAAGUCGGACGUGAAAUCCCUCAGCUUAACUGGGGAACUGCGUCCGGUACUGGAUGGCUUGGAUUUGGGAGAGGGAUGCGGAAUUCCAGGUGUAGCGGUGAAAUGCGUAGAUAUCUGGAGGAACACCGGUGGCGAAGGCGGCAUCCUGGACCAAUAUUGACGCUGAGGAGCGAAAGCAAGGGGAGCAAACGGG
rnacentral:rRNA from 1 species